GUACUAGUCAUAUCAUUUCUAACAUGCAAAAUGCAAAAAGUGUCACAACUUACCCCGCCUUCCCCUAUAUAUCACAAAUUAAUAUCUAAUCCGUUUCUCAUUAAGUUUUUAUGCUAUGACAUUCUCACAGCAAACUGAGUUUCAGAAUUCACAGUAACUGCCAUCCUGUAUAAACAUCAGUUACAGGAGUGGGAACAAAAUCAGACGAAUUGUGUUCGCUAAACUUGAUCAAUAAAUACAACUUUGAUAAGUGAUUGCGAUUUCAUCAUGGACAAUGAUUCAAGCUAAAUGACCUCCAAAAGGCUAGCAAACUGCUGGCCGUAAAAGCAAUUGUUAUUUCAUAAUGUGUUCUGCCUUUUGUGCCUUUGAAUUUUCAGUUAUGCAAAUCUUACAAUGAUACAUAAGUUUACCUGUUCAGUUAUGCAAAUCUUACAAUGAUACAUAAGUUUACCCAGUUCAUUUAUGCAAAUCUAUUUAUGAUACAUAAGUUCACCCUAUUCAGUUACGCAAAUCUAUUUAUGACACAUAAGUUUGCCCUGCUCAGUUAUGUACAUCUUACAAUGAUACAUAAGUUCACCCGGUUCAGUUAUGCAAAUCUUACAAUGAUACAUAAGUUCACCCAGUUCAUUUAUGCAAACCUAUUGAUGAUACAUAAGUUCACCAUGUUCAGUUAUGCAAAUCUUACAAUUAUACAUUAGUUUACAAUGUUCAGUUAUGCAAAAGUAUUUAUGAUACAUAAGUUCACCCGGUUCAGUUAUGCAAAUAUUUCAAUGAUACAUAAGUUCUCCCUAUUCAGUUAUGCAAAUCUUACAAUGAUACAUAAGUUCACCCGGUUCAGUUAUGCAAAUCUUACAAUGAUACAUAAGUUCACCCAGUUCAUUUAUGCAAACCUAUUGAUGAUACAUAAGUUCACCAUGUUCAGUUAUGCAAAUCUUACAAUUAUACAUUAGUUUACAAUGUUCAGUUAUGCAAAAGUAUUUAUGAUACAUAAGUUCACCCUGUUCAGUUAUGCUAAUCUAUACAAUGAAAACAUAAAUUCUCCCUAUUCAGUUAUGCAAAUCUUACAAUGAUACAUAAGUUCACCCGGUUCAGUAAUGCAAAUAUUACAAUGAUACAUAAGUUCUCCCUAUUCAGUUAUGGAAAUCUUACAAUGAUACAUAAGUUCACCCUGUUCAGUUAUGCAAAUCUUACAAUGAUACAUAAGUUCUCCCUAUUCAGUUAUGCAAAUCUUACAAUGAUA